rnacentral:rRNA from 1 species
AGGACGAACGCUGGCGGCGUGCUUAACACAUGCAAGUCGAGCGGUAAGGCUCCUUCGGGAGUACACGAGCGGCGAACGGGUGAGUAACACGUGAGCAAUCUGCCCUUCACUUUGGGAUAACUUCCGGAAACGGAAGCUAAUACCGAAUACGACCAUCACAGACAUCUAUUGAUGGUGGAAAGUUCCGGCGGUGAAGGAUGAGCUCGCGGCCUAUCAGCUUGUUGGUGAGGUAACGGCCCACCAAGGCGACGACGGGUAGCCGGCCUGAGAGGGUGACCGGCCACACUGGGACUGAGACACGGCCCAGACUCCUACGGGAGGCAGCAGUGGGGAAUAUUGGACAAUGGGCGAAAGCCUGAUCCAGCAACGCCGCGUGAGGGAUGACGGCCUUCGGGUUGUAAACCUCUUCUAGCAGGGACGAAGCGAAAGUGACGGUACCUGCAGAAGAAGCACCGGCCAACUACGUGCCAGCAGCCGC